rnacentral:rRNA from 1 species
AUGCCGCGUGAAUGAUGAAGGUCUUAGGAUUGUAAAAUUCUUUCACCGGGGAAGAUAAUGACGGUACCCGGAGAAGAAGCCCCGGCUAACUUCGUGCCAGCAGCCGCGGUAAUACGAAGGGGGCUAGCGUUGCUCGGAAUUACUGGGCGUAAAGGGCGCGUAGGCGGACAGUUAAGUCAGAGGUGAAAGCCCAGGGCUCAACCUUGGAAUUGCCUUUGAUACUGGCUGUCUUGAGUUCGGGAGAGGUGAGUGGAAUGCCGAGUGUAGAGGUGAAAUUCGUAGAUAUUCGGCGGAACACCAGUGGCGAAGGCGACUCACUGGCCCGAUACUGACGCUGAGGCGCGAAAGCGUGGGGAGCAAACAGGAUUAGAUACCCUGGUAGUCCACGCUGUAAACGAUGAGUGCUAGUUGUCGGCAUGCAUGCAUGUCGGUGACGCAGCUAACGCAUU